rnacentral:tRNA from 1 species
GGGGAUGUGCUGGAAUUGGCAGACAGGCAUGACUUAGGAUCAUGUGCCGCAAGGCGUGUGGGUUCAACUCCCACCAUCCUCA